rnacentral:rRNA from 1 species
AACGAACGCUGGCGGCAUGCCUAACACAUGCAAGUCGAACGAGAUCUUCGGGUCUAGUGGCGCACGGGUGCGUAACGCGUGGGAAUCUGCCCUUUGGUUCGGAAUAACAGUUGGAAACGACUGCUAAUACCGGAUGAUGACGAAAGUCCAAAGAUUUAUCGCCAGAGGAUGAGCCCGGGUAGGAUUAGCUAGUUGGUGUGGUAAAGGCGCACCAAGGCGACGAUCCUUAGCUGGUCUGAGAGGAUGAUCAGCCACACUGGGACUGAGACACGGCCCAGACUCCUACGGGAGGCAGCAGUGGGGAUAUUGGACAAUGGGCGAAAGCCUGAUCCAGCAAUGCCGCGUGAGUGAUGAAGGCCUUAGGGUUGUAAAGCUCUUUUACCCGGGAUGAUAAUGACAGUACCGGGAGAAUAAGCUCCGGCUAACUCCGUGCCAGCAGCCGCAGUAA